GACGAACGCUGGCGGCGUGCUUAACACAUGCAAGUCGAGCGGUAAGGCCCUUUCGGGGGUACACGAGCGGCGAACGGGUGAGUAACACGUGGGCGACCUGCCCUCAGCUCUGGGAUAAGCCUGGGAAACCGGGUCUAAUACUGGAUAUGACUCCAUGACGCAUGUUGUGGGGUGGAAAGCCUUGUGCGGCUGAGGAUGGGCCCGCGGCCUAUCAGCUUGUUGGUGGGGUGAUGGCCUACCAAGGCGACGACGGGUAGCCGGCCUGAGAGGGCGACCGGCCACAUUGGGACUGAGACACGGCCCAGACUCCUACGGGAGGCAGCAGUGGGGAAUCUUGCGCAAUGGGCGAAAGCCUGACGCAGCGACGCCGCGUGAGGGAUGACGGCCU
rnacentral:rRNA from 1 species